UACAGAGGUCCCAAGCGUUGUUCGGAUUCACUGGGCGUAAAGGGUGCGUAGGUGGCCAGGUAAGUUCGGUGUGAAAGCUCGGAGCUUAACUCCGAAAUGGCAUUGGAAACUACCUUGCUCGAGGGUUGGAGGGGGGACUGGAAUGCUUGGUGUAGCAGUGAAAUGCGUAGAUAUCAAGUGGAACACCAGUGGCGAAGGCGAGUCCCUGGAAAACUCCUGACACUGAGGCACGAAAGCCAGGGGAGCAAACAGG
rnacentral:rRNA from 1 species